rnacentral:misc_RNA from 1 species
GAUGAAGAACGCAGCGAAAUGCGAUAAGCAGUGUGAAUUGCAGAAUUCAGUGAAUCAUCGAAUCUUUGAACGCACAUUGCGGCCAUAGGUAUUCCUUUGGCCAUGCCUGUUCGAGCGUCAUUUACACCCUCAAGCCUAGCUUGGUGUUGGGCGCCUGUCCCGCCGUUUUCGCGCGCGGACUCGCCUCAAAGUCAUUGGCGGCGGUCGUGCCGGCCCCCUCGCGCAGCACAUUUGCGCUUCUCGGAGGCCCGGCGGAUCCGCGCUCCAGCAAGACCUUUCACGACUUGACCUCGGAUCAGGUAGGGAUACCCGCUGAACUUAAGCAUAUCAAUAAGCGGAGGA